rnacentral:rRNA from 1 species
GGACUACCAGGGUAUCUAAUCCUGUUUGCUCCCCACGCUUUCGUAGUUGAGUGUCAGUGCCUGUCCAGAUUGCCGCCUUCGCCUCUGGUGUUCCUCCCGAUCUCUACGCAUUUCACCGCUACACCGGGAAUUCCACAAUCCUCUCCAGGACUCAAGUCUCACCGUUUCAGGGGCACUUCUUGGGUUAAGCCCAAGGCUUUCACCCCUGACAAAUGAGACCACCUACCUACCCUUUACGCCCAAUAAUUCCGAGCAACGCUUGCACCCCUCGUAUUACCGCGGCUGCUGGCAC